rnacentral:rRNA from 1 species
UGCCAGCAGCCGCGGUAAUACGAAUGGGGCAAGCGUUGUUCGGAAUCACUGGGCUUAAAGCGUGCGCAGGCGGUUAUGAAAGUCAGAAGUGAAAUCCCAGAGCUCAACUCUGGAACUGCCUUUGAAACUCCAUAACUAGAAUCCGGGAGGGGUCAGUAGAAUUCCUAGUGUAGAGGUGAAAUUCGCAGAUAUUAGGAGGAAUACCAGUGGCGUAGGCGACUGACUGGACCGGUAUUGACGCUCAUGUACGAAAGCGUGGGGAGCAAACAGGAUUAGAUA